UAAAAUAAUACAUCAGCAUUUUAUUAAAUAAUCAUCCUAUUUCAUAUGUACAUCUAGCUUUCCCUAGGAUAAACAGAUGAAGCAAGUAGGUUUAGUAUUCAUUUCAAUGCGAGUUGGUUCACUCGGUAAUCAGUAAAACGCUAAUGAACUCGAUUCGGGUCUGUUUGUCAAAUCACCAACGUAAAUUGUACCUAGGCAUAAAGCCUAAUAAUUCUUGAAUAUUAAUCACACCGUAUUAACGGUGCAAAUCGAACUUGAUUGUAGUCGUGAAUAUUUCACAAGCUGAGAUGAAGAAGAAUCAUUAAAAACUACCCUUACAAUCAAUUACAUAUUGCUUUAAUAGUACAUAAAAUUAUUUUGAAAUUCUAACAUAAUAAAAAUAACAUGAUUCUGAAAUACUACCACCUCCCUUGAAGUCAUGCAACCCUAGUGUACUGUAAAUAUCAAUAUACAUAAUUGCAAAUAUAAAAUAUAAAUAUUGAAGUAAAUAGUAGACCUAUGUCGUUAAGUAUCUAUAAGAUACCGACAAUCUAUAUAUCCGUAAGUAUUAAUAAGAUGCCGACAAUAGAUACCAUUAGUAUCAAUAAGAUAUCGUUAAUCUGUAUUCGAUAACAGCUCCCCUGAAUUUCAUUUGCCCAAACGAAACGACUGAACCGAUACGAAGUCACGCAAAAGAGAAACAAAAGAGACAAAUACGUAGAAUGUUUGUCCAACUGGUCACCGAGAUCGAAAGGAUUCUCGUGGCAAGCUACGGUUUCCCAGCCUCUUGUUCUCAGCGACUCGAUCACGGACAAAAAGACCCGCGAAAGUGAUUCCAGGCACGCGUUCGUCCCCUUUGCCGAUUAAUUUCGCUGCCACUGCAAGACGAAACGACAAGUUAGUCGACUUUUAACCGCUGGCCAACCUGACCGGGCAGGUGCGCGAUCUUUCCUUUUUGAGGAAUCUGAGGAAGCUACGAACCGGUGGAUGCAACGGCGAAAGAAAGAGAUUGAAAUCUGCGGUUUCGAGCCGCCUGCGAGAAUGAAAUCAUCCGUUAUGUCAGUGAAGACCAAGGAACAAUUAAUUAUAAAUGACACAACAAUCGAGGAAAUCGUAGGUUAGAGGUAAACGUCAUAGUGCACAGGUUGGGUGAACACUUUCUAAGACAUUCUUCAGUGAAGCAACUGAUUAGAAAAAUACAAUGAGUAAUUGUUCGAGUGCUGAAGGACGAACGAAAUAAAAAGGUCCCCCAAUUGAAUCGUUCGACCGCAGUGGUUUCACGGAAGGAACGCAAAAAGGAAGGACUGGUCAUCGAUCGGAUGGAACCCGGAGGUCGAUAAUAACGGCGUAACAGGGAUCCCUCACAGCAAAUAAACGUCUCAAGCUUUCAAUUAUGAACUCGGAUCACUGUCGCUUACCCCUAUUUUACAACAAACCCCGUCUAGAAACCCCCUUCCGAGAACACCGUCACGAGGAAGCAACGACCGGCGAAGAGAAUUCAAGUAGACGAGUCCGGUGAAAAAGCUUCGGGAAAACUUCGAGGGGAUCGGACACUGGAAGGACCGUGACAGACGUACUGGAAGGAUCGAGGAAAGAAAAGAUGGGGUAAAGUUGAGGGUGUGUCACGGUGAUUUUACGUCCAAGAAAGUCGCCCAAGUCGUCGUUUCGCUGGAAGCUGGCCAAAUGCACUUAAUGUUCUAUCAGGAUCCGGCAAGUUCGCCUUUACACAUCAUUUCUGUCACUCGCAAACUUUUUCUGAAUUAUUUCCUGCUUUACCGACUGCGCACACUGCGUGUAAGAUGGUGGACUUAAAUGAGAUUUAAAGGAGAAAUGUUUGACAAAAUGAAGGCUGACUUGAAGGACUUAUGUGACUCUCAAGGUUCUAUCUAAUAACAGAUGCAUGUAUGUUAAAUUGAAGAAUUCAUAGAAGCAGUGGUUUAGGUAAAAUUAUAAAUUGCAAAGGUUUAAGUAUAAGAACAAAUGAAGUGUAUGCAUCAACGAAAGACAUAGCUAGCCUAAGACUUUCAAUUGAAUUUCAUGAAACUAGUAUAAGUUCACAAGAUGACUCCUGGUACCGAAAUGAGGAUACCAAAAGGAGCGAAUGAAAGGUUACGAUGAAAUAAAAAAAUAUAUUCCAAGUCUCAAAUGUUUAGGAUCAGCCAUUAAGCCGUUUGAGAAGCUCUAUAAAUUCCUAGAGGCCAUGUAGAGCGUGAAUACACUAAAAAGCAGAGAUGUCCCUAGCGGACUAACACAGCAGAUAAGAGAGCAACAAAGGAAAAGUUGCACGUGAGUGAUCAACGCGGAACAAACGGCAAAGUUCAGAUAACCCCCGUAUUUACCACAGCAGACACAACUGGGUGUCUAACAUCCCUCGACUACUUCGAACGAUUCUCGUAAAUAGAAAAACAGAGAUACGGUGAAAGCAUUCGUAACCCUCCUGAGGAGAUCGACGUCCACCCUCGGAUCCAGGGUGUAUACUUUACCACCUCUGACCGACGGAAGCCACUUCGUAGAACAAAAAAGAGCAGGACAAACGGGGAUGACGUUUAUCGAUUUCAGCAACACAGGGCCAAGAUAAAAGCGAUUUCUAAAAAAGUCUGGGAAACCGGUGGUGUGCUUUGAUCAUCCCUCGGUUAACGCCGGAUAGCGAAGCGGUUAUUUUUGUUUCGUCUGUUUAUUCGGUCGAUUUACGUGUUUACAGCGAUGUGUUCCCGCUGGAAAGAUACACAAAUGUUUGAAACGAUACAGGAGACACGUUCCCCUGCGGGGGAGAAACGAUACGAGGAUUUGGGGAGAUUUGUAACUUUGAAAGUUAGAUUUCUUUGUGUUCGAACAAGAUGAGCUUGCGAUACUUUUUGCGGUUGUUCGAACUUUUUCGACUGGAAGCGGAUUGGAGAUGUAAUUAAACUUCGUAUUGGUAUAAUUUGGAUUUUGAGGAUAUUAGCUACUAUUUCGUUGUACAUUUUCAUAAGAGGUUAACUAGGAAAAGCACUGUAAUCUGAAUAAUUACAGUUAUUGCGUACUAUAUUCUCGACAUGGAAUUAGAUAUACUAAUAGAAACUUUCAGAUCUAUCAAGAAUUGUACAGACUUAAAAAGGAAAUAAUUACGAAACCAUCAAAGUGUUAAAACUAAUUACUCCACAGAUAAGAGGCACAUAAAAAUGCUGAUAUAUUCAUAAAACGAGUAAAUAUGAACGAGAUACUUUACGAAAUAAAAUAAAAAUACAUGAAUUGCUAAAUCUGCGGUAUUUCAGUGUAAUUAAAUAACUCUAUCGCUUGAUAAAUUUUUAUCUAAAACGCGCGUGAUCAUGUA
rnacentral:lncRNA from 1 species